rnacentral:rRNA from 1 species
GCGAACGCUGGCGGCAGGCCUAAUACAUGCAAGUCGAGCGGCCCUUCGGGGCAGCGGCGGACGGGUGAGUAACGCGUGGGAACGUGCCCUUUGGUACGGAACAACUGAGGGAAACUUCAGCUAAUACCGUAUGUGCCCUUCGGGGGAAAGAUUUAUCGCCAUUGGAGCGGCCCGCGUUAGAUUAGCUAGUUGGUAGGGUAAUGGCCUACCAAGGCGACGAUCUAUAGCUGGUCUGAGAGGAUGAUCAGCCACACUGGGACUGAGACACGGCCCAGGCUCCUACGGGAGGCAGCAGUAGGGAAUCUUGCGCAAUGGGCGAAAGCCUGACGCAGCCAUGCCGCGUGAAUGAUGAAGGUCUUAGGAUUGUAAAAUUCUUUCACCGGGGACGAUAAUGACGGUACCCGGAGAAGAAGCCCCGGCUAACUUCGUGCCAGCCGCCGCCGUAAAAC